rnacentral:rRNA from 1 species
AUUGAACGCUGGCGGCAGGCCUAACACAUGCAAGUCGAGCGGAUGAAGGGAGCUUGCUCCUGGAUUCAGCGGCGGACGGGUGAGUAAUGCCUAGGAAUCUGCCUGGUAGUGGGGGAUAACGUCCGGAAACGGGCGCUAAUACCGCAUACGUCCUGAGGGAGAAAGUGGGGGAUCUUCGGACCUCACGCUAUCAGAUGAGCCUAGGUCGGAUUAGCUAGUUGGUGGGGUAAGGGCUUCCAAGGCGACGAUCCGUAACUGGUCUGAGAGGAUGAUCAGUCACACUGGAACUGAGACACGGUCCAGACUCCUACGGGAGGCAGCAGUGGGGAAUAUUGGACAAUGGGCGAAAGCCUGAUCCAGCCAUGCCGCGUGUGUGAAGAAGGUCUUCGGAUUGUAAAGCACUUUAAGUUGGGAGGAAGGGCAGUAAGUUAAUACCUUGCUGUUUUGACGUUACCAACAGAAUAAGCACCGGCUAACUUCGUG